rnacentral:rRNA from 1 species
CCUACGGGAGGCAGCAGUGGGGAAUAUUGGUCAAUGGGCGCAAGCCUGACCCAGCAACGCCGCGUGAAGGAAGACGGCUUUCGGGUUUUAAACUUCUUUUUACAGGGGAGAGCAGAAGACGGUACCUGUCGAAUAAGCCACUGCUAACUACGUGCCAGCAGCCGCAGUAAUACGUAGGUGGCGAGAUUUGUCCGGAUUUACUGGGGGUAAAGGGCGUUUUGCCGGGCUGACAAGUCAGAUGUGAAAUCCGGGGGCUCAACCCCCGAGCUGCAUUUGAAACUGUUGGUCUUGAGUAUCGGAGAGGCAGGCGGAAUUCGUAGUGUAGCGGUGAAAUGCGUAGAUAUUAGGAGGAACACCAGUGGCGAAGGCGGCCUGCUGGACGACAACUGACGGUGAGGCGCGAAAGCGUGGGGAGCAAACAGGAUUAGAUACCCUGGUAGUC